rnacentral:rRNA from 1 species
UACGUAGGGACCAAGCGUUGUUCGGAUUUACUGGGCGUAAAGGGCGCGUAGGCGGCUUGACAAGUCACUUGUGAAAUCUCCGGGCUUAACUCGGAAUGGCCAAGUGAAACUGUCAUGCUAGAGUGCAGAAGGGGCAAUCGGAAUUCUUGGUGUAGCGGUGAAAUGCGUAGAUAUCAAGAGGAACACCUGAGGUGAAGACGGGUUGCUGGGCUGACACUGACGCUGAGGCGCGAAAGCAUGGGGAGCGAACAGG